GUGAACGCUGGCGGUAGGCCUAACACAUGCCAGUCGAACGGCAGCACAGUAAGAGCUUGCUCUUACGGGUGGCGAGUGGCGGACGGGUGAGGAAUACAUCGGAAUCUACUUUUUCGUGGGGGAUAACGUAGGGAAACUUACGCUAAUACCGCAUACGACCUACGGGUGAAAGCAGGGGAUCUUCGGACCUUGCGCGAUUGAAUGAGCCGAUGUCGGAUUAGCUAGUUGGCGGGGUAAAGGCCCACCAAGGCGACGAUCCGUAGCUGGUCUGAGAGGAUGAUCAGCCACACUGGAACUGAGACACGGUCCAGACUCCUACGGGAGGCAGCAGUGGGGAAUAUUGGACAAUGGGCGCAAGCCUGAUCCAGCCAUACCGCGUGGGUGAAGAAGGCCUGCGGGUUGUAAAGCCCUUUUGUUGGGAAAGAAAAGCAGCAGGUUAAUACCCCGCUGUUCUGACGGUACCCAAAGAAUAAGCACCGGCUAACUUCGU
rnacentral:rRNA from 1 species